ACGUUUAAUUUUGGCGUUAGCAAGAGGGCUUGUUAUCAGUCACAUAGAAUAUUUCUAUUAUUUUAUGGGGGUUAAGUUUUGUCUCUUUUUCUAGUGAUUAAUAUUUUAUUUUAGUGUAAGCUAUUUAAAGGUAAUAAGCAUAAAGGGGAUAGGACACAGUGCCAGCAUCCGCGGUUAUUCUGCUCUCUUUUCUUUUUUUUUGGCUUUUAACGACAACAAUAGUGUAAAUUGUGUAAAAACUUUUAUUGGGUUUUAUGUGUGUCGUUUGUAUUGGAAGUGGUUUAGUAAGACAUGGAUUAGAUACCCAUUUAUUUGCUGACUUAUUAUGCUGUAGUUUAUAUAACUAAAAAAUUUUGGCAGCGAGCAAACCUAUUCGGGGGAGUGUGCCAUUUAAAGGACGAUCCACCCAUUAAUUAACUAUUUUUAUGCUGGUGUAUAUCUGGUUUAAUAUUAGUGCUGUUAUAGCUGAAUUUGUGUAGAUGUAGUUAAGCCAAGUCUAUGUGCUGCGUAUAAUAGGAUUGGUGCAUUACAUUUAUAAGGCGUAGGUGGUAGAGGGCUACGUUUAUUUAGGACUCGAUAGUAAUAUUAUAUUAUUUUGAUAAUGUGAAUUUAGUUUAGCUUGGGUACACACCGCCCGUCACCCUCGUCUUUUGUUGAGGUAAGUCGUAACAUGGUAGCCCCAGAUGAAUCUGGGGCUAAGUUUAGUUUA
rnacentral:ncRNA from 1 species